rnacentral:rRNA from 1 species
CGUUCCCGGGUCUUGUACACACCGCCCGUCACACCAUGGGAGCGGGUUUUACCAGAAGUAGGUAGCUUAACCGCAAGGAGGGCGCUUACCACGGUAAGAUUCGUGACUGGGGUG